AUUGAACGCUGGCGGUAUGCCUAACACAUGCAAGUCGAACGGCAGCACAGGAAGAGCUUGCUCGUACGGAUUGCGAGUGGCGUACGUGUUAGGAAGACAUCUGAAUCGACGUUGGCGUUGGGGAGGACGAAGGGGGACUUACACUAAUACCGCAUACGGCCUACGGGUGAAGGCAGUUGAGCUUCGGACCUUUCGCGAUGGAAGAAGCCGAUGUCGGAUUAGCUAGUUGGUGGGGUAAAGGCCCACCAAGGCGACGAUCCGUAGCUGGUCUGAGAGGAUGAUCAGCCACACUGGAACUGAGACACGGUCCGGACUCCUACGGGAGGCAGCAGUGGGGAAUAUUGGACAAUGGGCGAAAGCCUGAUCCAGCAAUACCGCGUGGGUGAAGAAGGCCUUCGGGUUGUAAAGCACUUUUGUUGGGAAAGAAAAGCAGCAGGUUAAUACCCUGCUGUUAUGACGGUACCCAAAGAAUAAGCACCGGCUAACUUCGUG
rnacentral:rRNA from 1 species